AACGAACGCUGGCGGCAGGCUUAACACAUGCAAGUCGAACGAUGUAGCAAUACAUAGUGGCGCACGGGUGAGUAACGCGUGGGAAUAUACCUUAUAGUGGGGAAUAACUUUGGGAAACUAAAGCUAAUACCGCAUACGCCCGAGAGGGGAAAGAUUUAUCGCUAUAAGAUUAGCCCGCGUGAGAUUAGGUAGUUGGUGGGGUAAUGGCCUACCAAGCCUACGAUCUCUAGCUGGUCUGAGAGGAUGAUCAGCCACACUGGAACUGAGACACGGUCCAGACUCCUACGGGAGGCAGCAGUGGGGAAUCUUAGACAAUGGGGGAAACCCUGAUCUAGCCAUGCCGCGUGAUCGAUGAAGGCCUUAGGGUUGUAAAGAUCUUUCAGUGGGGGAAGAUAAUGACGGUACCCACAGAAGAAGCCCCGGCUAACUCCGUGCCAGCAGCCGCGGUAAU
rnacentral:rRNA from 1 species